UACGUAGGGUGCAAGCGUUGUCCGGAAUUAUUGGGCGUAAAGAGCUCGUAGGCGGUUCGUCACGUCGGCUGUGAAAACCCGGGGCUCAACUCCGGGCCUGCAGUCGAUACGGGCAGACUAGAGUGCUGUAGGGGAGACUGGAAUUCCUGGUGUAGCGGUGAAAUGCGCAGAUAUCAGGAGGAACACCGGUGGCGAAGGCGGGUCUCUGGGCAGUAACUGACGCUGAGGAGCGAAAGCGUGGGGAGCGAACGGG
rnacentral:rRNA from 1 species